rnacentral:rRNA from 1 species
UACGGGGGGGGCAAGCGUUGUUCGGAAUUACUGGGCGUAAAGGGCUCGUAGGUGGCCAACUAAGUCAGACGUGAAAUCCCUCGGCUUAACCGGGGAACUGCGUCUGAUACUGGAUGGCUUGAGUUCGGGAGAGGGAUGCGGAAUUCCAGGUGUAGCGGUGAAAUGCGUAGAUAUCUGGAGGAACACCGGUGGCGAAGGCGGCAUCCUGGACCGGUAUUGACGCUGAGGCGCGAAAGCCAGGGGAGCAAAGCGGG